UGACGUCUGUUUGUCUGUGUUAUUAGCUUAGUUGAUUUACCCAAAUAUGGGUAGUGUCGGUUACCCAUAUUUGGAUGAAAAUUUGAGAUUUAUUGACAAUCAUGGUGCGGCAAUCACAAGAUGGAAUUCCUACUAAGGCUUCGCGAAGUUUCAACAUUGAUCAAAGGAUGCUGGCCGAAGACGGCUCAACGGAUUAAUUGCAGUUAUGGUUGCUCUUGAGCGAGGAGCAUUUUCAUUGGAAAAAUGGUACAGGGUGGGGGCAGGGUGCAGAUUUCGUCUAUUUUAAAAUGAAAUUACUCGACCUCAUCAAGUUUUGUUUACUAAUAAAGUUUAAAUUGUUAUGUCAAUAACAAUUUUCUAUUCAAUUCUAAAUGAUAAUGAAAAAUAAAAUAAAAUUAAAUUACUCA